GUACUAAUCUGGCUGGGAGGUACCUCGCGGUCACGAAGGCGAGACCUCCAUGGUGAGGUUUGGCCAUUGCACUUUCGCUCAGGCUGACCCGUGUAGCAGUCACGAGUUGGGAUUGGCCAAUAGCAUGACCAUAUAUGCUUGGGUUAAUUGUUCCCUUUCUCCAAC
rnacentral:snRNA from 1 species